GGAAGUUUAGCUCAGCUGGGAGAGCAUCUGCCCUACAAGCAGAGGGUCAUAGGUUCGAACCCUAUAACUUCCACCA
rnacentral:tRNA from 1 species